GUGCGUGCGUGUGUGUGUGCGUGUGUGUGUGUGUGUGUGUCAGUAUUUUUUCACUGGAUUAUUUUCAAAGCAUUAGUGAGGACUGCCGGUCUUUUCCUCCUUUGUUUUUCUUUAGUUUCUUGCUCAAGUCAUUCUUAUGGAAACAUGCAGCUCAUAUUUUACCCUAAAAUAAUUUUAUAAGAUGCUUUUUUUAAAAAUCAUGAAUAAAUGUUGAAUUAUGAUUCAUGUCAGUUAAUCAUAUUUUUUACUCAUUGUCUAUCCUGUGAUGCAUGCGGAUGUUUCUCUGUAAAUAUCAUAGACGCUCAAUACAGCUCAAUAUAUUGAGAGACUGCACAGCUCGUACAGGACCAUGAUGUAGAAAUACUUAUAUAUAUAUAAUGAUUUUUGUAUUUUGUGAUAACUAGGAUGAUGUUUCUGGCAUUAUAUGUCACAAGAAUAUUUCAUUGCCGUGUAAAUAAUCCUACAAUCCGAAGCAUUGAAGUGGUGCUUGAAUGGGCUCUAUUUUCUUUAUGAUUCAUUUAUUUUCUCUUAAGAUUCAUUGAGGGUGAAAUCUGAGCCAUGCAUGUUUCACAUAUACACAUCUCUAUAUUGUGUGUCAGGAUGUGCGUGUGUGCGUGUGUGCGUGCGUGUGUGUGUUUGUGUGUGUGCUGGUGCUCAAUGUCAAAGUGCCUGUUGUAGUUCUGCCUGUUUAUGCCUGUUUGUCUUACAUCACCUCUGCCAUUCAGACUCAAUGUUUAUAUUUUUGUAGGUUAUUUUGUGGUCAGUUUUUAUCUUAAAGUUUGUAUUUGUUGAUAUGUCAUUUACAUUGAGACAGAAUGUGUGUUCACUAGAGUCACAAAGUCUUCAAGUGGGAAAACAUUCAUACACACACUCAUACACAGGUACACACAUACACACAGUGUUGUACACAAACUCAUAAACAGGUACAAACACACACACUUAUACACAGGCACACACAAACACUGUUGUGCACCCUCAUACACAGGUACACACACACACACACACACUGUUGUACACACACUCAUAAACAGGUACACACACACACACACUUAUACACAGGUACACACACACUCCAGUAAUAAAGAAGUGAAAUGCUGAAGAGAUUUCUGAUGGAUCAGAGUCUGUCGGGCUCUUGUGUGUUGGGUUCAGAGAGACUUUGGGGUGAUGUCAGUGAUUUCAAUCUUCGUUGUUUUAAUAUUCUGCCAUGAUUAUAAAUAAUAAAACAUUCCAACUGAUGAGCA